CGCGUAGGCGGGUCUGUGUGUCGAUUGUGAAAGCCCUGGGCUUAACCCGGGAAUUGCAGUCGAAACUGCAGAUCUUGAGUGCCUAAGAGGAUGGCGGAAUUCCCGGUGUAGAAGUGAAAUUCGUAGAUAUCGGGAAGAACACCUGAGGCGAAGGCGGCUGUCUGGUGGUGCACUGACGCUGAGGCGCGAAAGCGUGGGGAGCAAACA
rnacentral:rRNA from 1 species